UACGUAGGGGGCGAGCGUUGUCCGGAUUUAUUGGGCGUAAAGAGCGUGUAGGCGGCCAGGUAGGUCUGCUGUGAAAACUCGAGGCUCAACCUCGAGACGUCGGCGGAAACCAUCUGGCUAGAGUCCGGAAGAGGAGAGUGGAAUUCCUGGUGUAGCGGUGAAAUGCGCAGAUAUCGUAAGGAAGGCCGGUGGCGAAAGCGAGCCUCUGGACAGUUACUGACGCUGAUGCACGAAGGCCAGGGGAGCAAACGGG
rnacentral:rRNA from 1 species